GUAAGUAUAGUUUAAUUAAAGCAUCAGAUUGUGAUUCUGAAAAUAAGGGUUAAAAUCCCCUUACUUACC
rnacentral:tRNA from 1 species